AUGAACCACGCCUGGGCUACGGUUCCGGGCGCGCCGUCCGCACCCACCUGACGGCCACUCGCUGCGUGUUGUGGGUC
rnacentral:sRNA from 1 species